UGUCGUAGCUAACGCGUUAAGUGUUCCGCCUGGGGAGUACGCACGCAAGUGUGAAACUCAAAGGAAUUGACGGGGGCCCGCACAAGCGGUGGAGUAUGUGGUUUAAUUCGAUGCAACGCGAAGAACCUUACCAGGGUUUGACAUCCUGCGAACCUCUUAGAAAUUUGAGGGUGCCUUCGGGAAUGCAGUGACAGGUGGUGCAUGGCUGUCGUCAGCUCGUGUCGUGAGAUGUUGGGUUAAGUCCCGCAACGAGCGCAACCCACGUUUUUAGUUGCCAGCAUUUAGUUGGGCACUCUAGAAAGACCGCCGGUGAUAAACCGGAGGAAGGUGUGGAUGACGUCAAGUCAUCAUGCCCCUUACACCCUGGGCUACACACGUACUACAAUGCUACGGACAAAGGGCAGCUAACUCGCGAGAGCAAGCAAAUCCCAUAAACCGUGGCUCAGUUCAGAUCGUAGGCUGCAACUCGCCUACGUGAAGUAGGAAUCGCUAGUAAUCGCAGGUCAGCAUACUGCGGUGAAUACGUUCCCGGGCCUUGUACACACCGCCCGUCACACCAUGGAAGUUGGCCAUGCCCGAAGUCGUUACUCCAACCCUUGUGGAGGAGGACGCCGAAGGUGGGGCUAAUGACUGGGGUGAAGUCGUAACAAGGUAACCGUA
rnacentral:rRNA from 1 species